AAGGUUGUGCAAGAUUUACACGGCUACUCACUGAAGCCUCUGAAGUCCUCGUCAGGUGAUCAUUUCCCGAUGUGUGACUGGUUCUGCUGGCGGUGGCCACUUCCGGUCGGCGGUGAAGAUGUCAAAGACGUUAUUGACGAAUCCGGGGUUGUCGUUCUUACAGACGCUACAGUGUACGAAUAUAUUCCUGAACCAGUACCAA